UACGUAGGGCGCGGGCGUUGUCCGGAAUUAUUGGGCGUAAAGAGCUCGUAGGCGGCUUGUCACGUCGAUUGUGAAAGCCCGAGGCUUAACCUCGGGUCUGCAGUCGAUACGGGCUGGCUAGAGUGUGGUAGGGGAGAUCGGAAUUCCUGGUGUAGCGGUGAAAUGCGCAGAUAUCAGGAGGAACACCGGUGGCGAAGGCGGAUCUCUGGGCCAUUACUGACGCUGAGACGCGAAAGCGUGGGGAGCGAACAGG
rnacentral:rRNA from 1 species